rnacentral:lncRNA from 1 species
CUGCCCACAGGGCUCAUUGGAUGAGCAGCAUAAUCUGAUGUCAGAUUAUAGUUAGUUGCUUCACAUAUCAUGCUUACAGGUCUCUCCUUCUUUUCUUCAGACGUCAUUGCCGCAGCAGUCUGUUCAUUCACAACAAAAAUACAGUUGUCCUGCGAUGGCUGUCCCGUUACUGGAUGUUUGCAGGUUACUUUUCGUUCAUUAUGAUUUACAUAGUAUCUUGCACCUUCGAAAGUGUAAGCUUCCUCCCAACCUGUGGGUAAGUCUGCGCUGCGGCGGUGCCCGGUGAUCACGGCCUCUCCGGUCAGCGGGUGCAGCCAGGUCGUGCUCUUCGCCUCCUCGUUGAUGAAGAAGACGCGGCCGCCCUGGCUGAUCCCGUAACUCCAGCUGCCGGGCAGCGCCCGCAGCCGCUCCACGCUCAGCUCCGCCGGGGCCGCC